rnacentral:misc_RNA from 1 species
UCACAUCCAUCUUCUACAUGUUUGUUGCCCAUUGCAAGAUUUGAUUCACCAAAAUUAUCCUGAGUGCUGUUUGAUGUUUCCACAGGAAAGUCAUCUGUUUUUUGAUCAAGCUGUCCAGAAGCCACAGCUUCCUGCAUCACAUCUNNNUCCGCUAUGUCCUCCACUUCAUUACUCACUAUGUCCUCCACUUCAUUGGCUCCAUUUGCCUGAAGAUCUAAAACAGCAUCAGCUUGACUUAAGUUCUCAUUUAUGACUUCAUCAUCC